GGAGCUCCUUAACUCCUGUGCUGUGUGAACUUGUUUCAACUGUUUUACGAAACAAACUGGAUUCAUUGGCAUUACCUUUCACAGCCUGUGAACCAGGACGUCUCAGAAGUCA